rnacentral:rRNA from 1 species
AGAGGUCUCACCUGCCCAGUGACUAAAGUUUAACGGCCGCGGUAUUUUGACCGUGCUAAGGUAGCGCAAUCACUUGUCUUUUAAAUGAGGACCCGUAUGAAUGGUGGAACGAGGGCUUAACUGUCUCCCUUUUUAGGUCAGUGAAAUUGAUCUGCCCGUGCAGAAGCGGGCAUAAAUAUACAAGACGAGAAGACCCUUUGGAGCUUAAGAUAUAAGAUCAACUAUGUCAAAUACCCUUAUAAAAAGGAAUAAAACAUAAUAACAACUGAUCAGCAUCUUCGGUUGGGGCGACCACGGGGGAAAAAAAAGCCCCCACGUAGAUUGGGAAUACCUAAAACUAUGAGGGACACCUCUAAGCUACAGAACAUCUGACUAUAAAGAUCCGGCCUUACAGCCGAUCAACGAACCAAGUUACCCUAGGGAUAACAGCGCAAUCCCCUCCAAGAGUCCAUAUCGACAAGGGGGUUUACGACCUCGAUGUUGGAUCAGGACAUCCUAAUGGUGCAGCCGCUAUUAAGGG